UGGCUCAGUUGGUAGAGCAUAGUGUGUGCAACACCAGGGUUGUGGGUUCGAUUCCCAC
rnacentral:tRNA from 1 species